GUCUGAGGCAGAGCCCAGGAUCAGAAUAAAAGGACUCAGGGACAGAACACCUCCAUCCAGUCCUCCUGAGGAGCUCAAGGAUCUUGUGCUGCCUGUCAUCUUGUUACCGAGCACUCACCAGCCGAGAUGUCCUGCCAGCAGAGCCAGCAACAGUGCCAGCCCCCUCCCAAGUGCGCCCCCAAGUGCCCUCCCAAGUGCCAGACUCCCAAGUGCCCUCCUAAAUGCCCCCCAAAAUGUCCUCCCAAGUGCCCCCCUGUGUCUUCCUGCUGUAGCCUGGGUUCUGGGGGCUGCUGUGGCUCCAGCUCUGGGGGAGGCUGUGGCUCCAGUUCUGGGGGCUGCUGCAGCUCUGGGGGUGGUGGCUGCUGCCUGAGCCACCACAGACCUCGCAGAUCUCUCCGCCACAGACACCAGAGCUCUGGAUGCUGUAGCAGUGGUGGCAACAGUGGAUGCUGUAGCAGUGGUGGCAGCAGUGGAUGCUGUGGCAGCAGUGGUGGCAGCAGCUGUGGCAGUAGCCAACAGUCUGGUGGCUGUUGCUGACCUGGGUGAGGAAGACUUCAGACAAGUGUUGCAGGAGGAAGCCAUGUUCAGAAGACCAGUCCACAAGUGCUACUUUCCUCCCCUUCUGUCUUCAUGUCCUUGGUUGUGAGAUGCUGCAAACCUGUAUCAAAUUCUGAAUUUGCCCCAAUGAUCUAAUAUCUUCUUCAAUAUUUUGUGAUAAUAAAGUCUUCCUUAUUGAGACUCCCAAAA